GCACCUCUUGACUUAAAUUUUUUUUUUUUUGGUGCCCAAAAAAAAAUCAAAAGCCAAUCGAACAAAAGGAGACCAAUAAUUCUGAUGUUACAACAUGAUGCUAGCCCAAGCUCUGGUAUAAUUUAGGGAUUCUCAAAGCCAAAUAUUCGAAAAACACCUUCAUCAGUCUGAUAUUUGGUCUUAUCAUCCCCAGCAUAUGCAAGCAAAUUGUACUUAGGAUUCCACUCAACACUAUUCAUGGCAGCUUUACAUGGGAUUUGAUGCAAGGAGCGUCCAGUAUGAACAUUGGAUAUAUCAACGAACAAGUCUUCGCUAGCAGAUGCGAUAUAAUCUCCCGUGUGGUUGAAGCUUAUUGUCCUGACAGGCCAUUCUAGUUUCGUAAAUGUUCGGACACAAAGCAUCUCUGAGAUAUCCCAAAGGCUAACUAAGGAAUCAGCACUUCCAACUGCAAAGUAUCUUCCCUUUGGAUCUAUUGCAAUGCAGUAGCAACCAGCUGUAUGAGCUACAACUGUGUCAAGUGGUCGAAGAGAUGGGUAUGCUAGCACUUCAACAGUACCAUUCCCAGUUGUCAAAAGGAACAUCUCUCCUGUCAUAUUCCAAGCAAUCUCAUUUACCUCAUAAUUGAACUUGCGCCUAUGAAUUGGCUUAAAUUUGCGAACAUCCAGUAUUGUCAGUUCAUCAUCCCUGUUCCCAACAGCUACAUGGGUUCCAUCAGGUCUAUAGGUGAUGUUUAUAUUCUCCCCACUAAGUUCUGCCUGCUGAGAGCAUUUUCCACUACGAGCAUCCCACAGACGAACCGUCUUGUCACCUGAUGCAGUCGCUAUCAGAUCAGUGUGCUUGGGGUCCCAACAAAGCUGAUCCACACUAUCAGUAUGUCCCUUCAAUUCAAUGUCUUUAAUUUUACCAUGGCCGUGAGGCUCAAUGAGCCAAACACGAGCUGUUUGGUCAACAGAACCAGAAGCAAGCUUCGUGCCAGUACAAUUCCAAGCUACCGAAUGCACCUUCUUCUUGUGACCUUGAUACUCUCUGCUAUGCAGAUUCUUAAACGGUAUCGUUUCCUCCAUUUCUGCAAACCCCUCAAAUUCCUUGGGUUCACCGUGAGAUUGACGGCGGGAAAGGGUUGCUUAAGGUCUAGGCCAGUCGGGGAAGCUUCUAGCCUGUUUGAACGGCGACGGAGAUACCAAAAAUUUGAGGUGGUUUACAGGGCGCAGUUUCAACCUUUAGGGUUUUUUUUUUUU
rnacentral:misc_RNA from 1 species